GACGAACGCUGGCGGCGUGCUUAACACAUGCAAGUCGAACGGAAAGGCCCUGCUUUUGUGGGGUGCUCGAGUGGCGAACGGGUGAGUAACACGUGAGUAACCUGCCCUUGACUUUGGGAUAACUUCAGGAAACUGGGGCUAAUACCGGAUAGGAGCUCCUGCUGCAUGGUGGGGGUUGGAAAGUUUCGGCGGUUGGGGAUGGACUCGCGGCUUAUCAGCUUGUUGGUGGGGUAGUGGCUUACCAAGGCUUUGACGGGUAGCCGGCCUGAGAGGGUGACCGGCCACAUUGGGACUGAGAUACGGCCCAGACUCCUACGGGAGGGAGGAGUGGGGAAUAUUGCACAAUGGGCGGAAGCCUGAUGCAGCAACGCCGUGUGCGGGAUGACGGCCUUCGGGUGGUAAACCGCUUUCGCCUGUGACGAAGCGUGAGUGACGGUAAUGGGGAAAGAAGCACCGGCUAACUACGG
rnacentral:rRNA from 1 species